rnacentral:misc_RNA from 1 species
AACGCAAGUUGCGCCCGAAGCCAUUAGGUUGAGGGCACGUCUGCCUGGGUGUCACAUGAUGCGUCAUGCCAAACCCUCGCCCACAUUUGAUGUCGGUCGGGGAUAUUUUGGGGUGGAUGUUGGCCUCCCGUGCACUUCUUUUGUGAGUGGUUGGUUGAAAAAUACGAGUUCCUAAUGCACGCUUUAUGGUGAUUGGUGGUUGUUACACCUGUGCAUUGCGUCGUGCUCCAUUGCUCGUGCUGUGCCAAUAUAGGGACUUGUCUUUGACCCUUUAGUAUUGUCUUCGAGAUGAUACCUCUACUGCGACCCCCAGGUCAGGCGGGGCUACCCGCUGAGUUUAA